rnacentral:rRNA from 1 species
GCACCGGCUAACUCCGUGCCAGCAGCCGCGGUAAUACGGAGGGUGCGAGCGUUAAUCGGAAUUACUGGGCGUAAAGCGCAUGCAGGUGGUUUGUUAAGUCAGAUGUGAAAGCCCGGGGCUCAACCUCGGAAUUGCAUUUGAAACUGGCAGACUAGAGUACUGUAGAGGGGGGUAGAAUUUCAGGUGUAGCGGUGAAAUGCGUAGAGAUCUGAAGGAAUACCGGUGGCGAAGGCGGCCCCCUGGACAGAUACUGACACUUGGAGGUUGUGGCCUUGAGCCGUGGCUUUCGGAGCUAACGCGUUAAGUAGACCGCCUGGGGAGUACGGUCGCAAGAUUAAAACUCAAAUGAAUUGACGGGGGCCCGCACAAGCGGUGGAGCAUGUGGUUUAAUUCGAUGCAACGCGAAGAACCUUACCUACUCUUGACAUCCAGAGAACUUUCCAGAGCGAGUAAUGUCGGGAACUCCAGGGAGACUGCCGGUGAUAAACCGGAGGAAGGUGGGGACGACGUCAAGUCAUCAUGGCCCUUACGAGUAGGGCUACACACGUGCUACAAUGGCGCAUACAGA